AGAGUUCGAUCCUGGCUCAGGACGAAUGCUGGCGGUGCGCUUAAUGCAUGCAAGUCGAGCGAAGCUUCAGAUAGCUUGCUAUUUGAAUGACUGAGCGGCGAACGGGUGAGUAACGCGUGAACAAUCUACCUUAAAUAUUAGGAUAGCUCAAGGAAACUUGAAUUAAUACUGAAUAAUCUUUCAAAUUCACAUGAAUUCUAAAGCAAAGGUCAGCCGAUUUAAGAUGAGUUCGCGUUCUAUCAGCUUGUUGGUAAGGUAAUGGCUUACCAAGGCUAUGACGGAUAGCUGGUCUGAGAGGACGAUCAGCCACACUGGGACUGAGACACGGCCCAGACUCCUACGGGAGGCUGCAGCAGGGAAUCUUGUGCAAUGAACGAAAGUUUGACACAGCGACACCGCGUGUGGGAUGACGGAUCUAGGUUUGUAAACCACUUUCAGGAGGGAAGAAAAUGGCGGUACCUCCACAAGAAGCCCCGGCCAACUACGUGCCAGCCGCCGCGGUAAUAC
rnacentral:rRNA from 1 species